GAUGAACGCUGACAGAAUGCUUAACACAUGUAAGUCGAUGGGGAAGUGGUGCUUUCACCAUGGUCACCAUGGCGGACGGGUGAGUAACGCGUAAGGAACUUGCCUGCGGGACUGUGAUAACAGCAGGAAACUGCUGAUAAUACCGGAUAAGGUCAUUACUCUUCCUUGCUUAGUGAUGAAAGGAGACGCCUGCGGAGAGCCUUGCGUCCUAUUAGCUAGUUGGAGGGGUAACGGCCCACCAAGGCGAAGAUAGGUAGCCGGCCUGAGAGGGUGGACGGCCACAAGGAGACAGAGAUACGGCACAUACUCCUACGGGAGGCAGGAGGGGGGAAUAUUGGAAAAUGGGGGCAACCCUGAUCCAGCAAUUCUGUGUGCACGAAGACGGUUUUCGGAGUGUAAAGGGCUUGCAGGAGGGAAGAAGGAAGUGACGGUACCGGCAGAAGAAGCGACGGCUAAAUACGUG
rnacentral:rRNA from 1 species